GUGAUCUUCCUGCCUCAGCCUCCAGAGUAGCUGGGACUACAGUGAGAGGCAGGGAUGUGUUACUGCCAAAGGCCAGUGUUGUAAAUUCUGAAGCCUAAGGGAGCCACACAGGUAAGCAAGAAGCAUGGGUCAGGAUUUUUAAAAUUUUGAACACAAGUAAUAAAUGACAACUUAUCUAUGUCAGUGAUUAUUACUGUGGUACAUAGAACAGUGUCUGCUCUAUCCAAAGGGAAUGGAGAGAUGAGCCCACUGUUGCUGAAUUUUCCAGAAAAAUCUGGAUUCUUUAAAAUGGUACAUCUCUCAAUUUUUAAAUGUUGGCAAUGCAUUCCAUAUAAUAUAAAUUUCUUCCUUUCUUUUUUAAUUAACAGUAGGCCAAAACAACAAGGGCAAACCAAACAGGUGCUUAGAUUGAAUUUAGACCAUAAGCCAUCAGUUGGUAAUCUCUAGAUUAAAGAAUAUUAAAAUAAAAUGAACCUAUCUCCGAAAAGUCACUCUAAAAUAUGCUUGAACCUUGUUGGCAGAGGAGUAAGUUGUUAUGCUUUUCUCACUACCUCUGAGUUUCUGUCAAUAUUUAUGUCUUUUUUAUCAUCCACCCACCUGUCCAUCCCUCUUUCAUCUAUCCAUUUGUUCACUGUCAUCAAGCUUCAAUAAUGAAUUACUGGAUGUUAAGGAGGAUUCAAAGAUGUACAUGACAGAAUCCCUCAGCUUAAAGAAUUCCCAGCAUCUGAGGGGUGUUAUCAGGGAUGGGUGGUAUUAUUAUACAUGAGUGGAUGACAGAGAUGGGUAGCAGAAAGGAGGAUGGAGAUGGAGAUGAUAAUGACAGAAGGAGUGAGUGCAAACAAGCCCUUCCAGCUAGAGGAUGCCUAGCUCCACCUCUUCCCUCUCUCUACUCCAGUUCCAGCUGUCUGACCUCACUUGCUUAACUCCACAUCAGUCAUUGUUCAUACCCUUCUCUUCCCAACAAGACCCAGGCUCAAAGCUACAGUGAUUGCUAUCCUUUGCAGAGGAAACUACAUGACAGAAAAAUGGUGCAAAAUUCCAGCAUUCAUUACUUCUAGCUCUUCCACUGUCUUUAGAUCUUAAUAUGAAGAAUCACCAGAGGAUGACGGAGGGGAAAUCUAAAAGCUUGGAUACAGAUGUGACUUCAGCUGCUGCAUCUUUAUGACCCUGUGUGGCAUAAUAAAAAUAUAUAUAUUUGGUCUUUGUCCAGGUUCCUGGAACACAUUGAAGUCUCUGAAAUUAUAAGAAUGUCUUUUGUAUGCUAAUGAGAUGAUGGGUGGCUGGGAUGCCUAGAUAGCUUCAGAAUAAGGGCUGGUCAAACCAGAAAAAACAAGGUGGAAUUUUUGACCCUCCUUCUCUCCAUUUCCAGGAAGAGAAGAGAAGCUAGAAAUGGAGUUAAUUGCCAAUGACCAAUGAUUUAAUCAACCAUGUGUAUGUAAUGAAAACCUCCAUAAAAAUUCCUACACAAUGAAGUUCAGAGAGCUUCUGGGUUGAUGAGUACACCCAUAUGCCAGGAAGAUCAUACACCCCAACUGCAGAGGGACAGAAUCUCAACACACUUCCAGACCUCGUCAUAUGUACUUCUUCAUUUGAAUCCUGUCCAUUCGAAUCCUGUGUAAUAUUCUUUAUAAGAAAUGAUUAAUAGCGAGUAAAGUGCUUUCCUGAGU